rnacentral:other from 2 species
UGCUCCCUGCGGUGUACGUUCAAGACUGAAAUUCUUUGAACCAAUUAUCAAAACAGGUUGUUGACUAAAGUGAAACAGUUGUGCGCGCCUUUCUUCAAGAUGCGCCUGAUGAAUCCGGGAGACAGCCACCUUGAACCCUGUGGUUCAAGACAUUGGUCUAACGGCACAUGCGGGGAGCUU